GUACGGAACGGAGCUAAUACCGGAUAAUAUUUUGAACCGCAUGGUUCAAAAGUGAAAGACGGUCUUGCUGUCACUUAUAGAUGGAUCCGCGCUGCAUUAGCUAGUUGGUAAGGUAACGGCUUACCAAGGCAACGAUGCAUAGCCGACCUGAGAGGGUGAUCGGCCACACUGGAACUGAGACACGGUCCAG
rnacentral:rRNA from 1 species